UACGUAGGGUGCGAGCGUUGUCCGGAAUUAUUGGGCGUAAAGAGCUCGUAGGCGGUGUGUCACGUCGUCCGUGAAAACCUGCAGCUUAGCUGUGGGCGUGCGGUCGAUACGGGCAUCACUGGAGUUCGGCAGGGGAGACUGGAAUUCCUGGUGUAGCGGUGAAAUGCGCAGAUAUCAGGAGGAACACCGGUGGCGAAGGCGGGGUCUCUGGGCCGAUACUGACGCUGGAGGGAGCGAAAAGCGUGGGGGAGCGAACAGG
rnacentral:rRNA from 1 species